rnacentral:rRNA from 1 species
CCUACGGGUGGCUGCAGUCGAGAAUCAUUCACAAUGGGGGAAACCCUGAUGGUGCGACGCCGCGUGGGGGAAUGAAGGUCUUCGGAUUGUAAACCCCUGUCAUGUGGGAGCAAAUUAAAAAGAUAGUACCACAAGAGGAAGCGACGGCUAACUCUGUGCCAGCAGCCGCGGUAAUACAGAGGUCUCAAGCGUUGUUCGGAAGCACUGGGCGUAAAGCGUGCGUAGGCUGUUUCGUAAGUCGGGUGUGAAAGGCGCGGGCUCAACCCGCGGACGGCACAUGAUACUGCGAGACUAGAGUGAUGGAGGGGGAGCCGGAAUUCUCGGUGUAGCAGUGAAAUGCGUAGAUAUCGAGAGGAACACUCGUGGCGAAGGCGGGUUCCUGGGCAUUAACUGACGCUGAGGCACGAAGGCCAGGGGAGCGAAAGGGAUUAGAUACCCCAGUAGUC